AUUGCAGAACACAUUGAACAUCGACAUCUUGAACGCAUAUGGCGGCCUCGGGUCCAUCCCGAUGCCACGCCCGUCUGAGGGUCGGCG
rnacentral:rRNA from 1 species